UGUACAGUUAGGAGUGGGGCUAUGUAGAAUAAGUAGUUAUUUUUAGAAUAUAGAUACCUAGUGUAUAGUGUAAACAGGGAUAGAUAAGUGCUGAAAAGAUGGUUCAGUAGGUAGAAUGGAUGAAUAGUCAGAAAAAGUAGUUAUCAUCUAUAGUAUAGGAGUUGGUAUCUCAGGGUAGUAUAAAGAAGAUGGAAGAGAGGAAGAAAAUGCCAGACUGCAAUAGUGUUGAGCCAGGGACCAGACUGUGAGAGUUGUGAGCCAAGGGCCAGAUUGUGAGAGUUGUGAGUCGAGAGCCAGAUUGUGAGAGUUGUGAGCCGAGGGCCAGACUGUGAGAGUUGUGAGCCGAGGGCCAGAUUGUGAGAGUUGUGAGCCGAGGGCCAGAUUGUGAGAGUUGUGAGCCGAGGGCCAGACUGUGAGAGUUGUGUGCCAAGGGCCAGAUUGUGAGAGUUGUGAGCCGAGGGCCAGACUGUGAGAGUUGUGAGCCAAGGGCCAGAUUGUGAGAGUUUUGAGCCGAGGGCAGACUGUGAGAAUUGUGAGCCGAGGGCCAGAUUAUGAGAGUUAUUAGCCGAGGGCCAGAGUGUGAGAGUUGUGAGCUGGGAUAAGCUUGGUGCUACUUCUUUUCUUUUGUUUGUUAUUUUUUUUGAAUAAGAGGGUUGAAAGUUUCUGAAUACUAUGAAGUGAAUUAUGGAAUGGAAAUGUGAUUGAUAUUAUUUGAGAUGAAGAAAGAUUGAAUGCUGAAAUCUGAUUAUAGUUCAGCAAAGAGAAUGAGUUUGUAUUUGUAUGAAACACUGUAAUGUGAAUGGCACUUCUGUGUAAAGAAUUCCACUGAUUGGAAUGAGGAUAAUUGUGUAUUGAAAGCUAUGAGGGUAUAGUAUUACAGUUGGAGAUUAUGAAGGUGAAUAUAUUGGUGGAAAUAGCAGUUAUUGGUAUGACUGAAUUACUGUAAGGAAGAGACCGAUAAGAUGAAGGAGGAGAUUAUAGUUUCCUAAUGUGUUCAGAUAUUGAAAAUAGAGACGAUACAUUCAGGAGGUAAUUGAUUGUGUGACCCUAACGUGAACGCUUAAGCAACUAGUCAUUCCUUGUGUUCGAAUCUCCUUAUACGAGUUUAUGCUGGGAGGUUUCUUUCGGAAUAAGUAAAACGAGCAAUCA
rnacentral:lncRNA from 1 species